rnacentral:rRNA from 1 species
UACGAGGGGGGCGAGCGUUGUUCGGAAUCACUGGGCGUAAAGAGUGCGUAGGCGGUUAUGAAAGUUAGAAGUGAAAGCCCCAGGCUCAACUUGGGAAUUGCUUUUAAAACUCCAUAACUCGAAUUCGGGAGAGGAUAGCGGAAUUCUCAGUGUAGCAGUGAAAUGCCUAGAUAUUGAGAGGAACACCAGUGGCGUAAGCGGCUAUCUGGACCGACAUUGACGCUGAGGCACGAAAGCGUGGGGAUCAAACAGG